rnacentral:rRNA from 1 species
UACGGGAGGCAGCAGUGGGGAAUAUUGCACAAUGGGCGAAAGCCUGAUGCAGCUAUGCCGCGUGUAUGAAGAAGGCCUUAGGGUUGUAAAGUACUUUCAUCGGGGAGGAAAACAAACUAAUAAUUUUAUUUCUUGACGUUACCCGAAAAAGAAGCACCGGCUAACUCCGUGCCAGCAGCCGCGGUAAUACGGAGGGUGCUAGCGUUAAUCAGAAUUACUGGGCGUAAAGAGCACGUAGGUGGUUUUUUUAAGUCAGAUGUGAAAUCCCUGGGCUUAACCUAGGAACUGCAUUUUUGAAACUGAAAUACUAGAGUAUCGUAGAGGGAGGUAGAAUUCUAGGUGUAGCGGUGAAAUGCGUAGAUAUCUGGAGGAAUACCUGUGGCGAAAGCGGCCUCCUAAACGAAUACUGACACUGAGGUGCGAAAGCGUGGGGAGCAAACAGGGAUUAGAUACC